CUACGGGGGGCUGCAGUAGGGAAUAUUGGACAAUGGGCGAAAGCCUGAUCCAGCAACACCGCGUGCACGAUGACGGCCUUCGGGUUGUAAAGUGCUUUUAGAGGAGAUGAGAAAGGACAGUAUCCUCUGAAUAAGCCUCGGCGAACUACGUGCCAGCAGCCGCGGUAAAACGUAGGAGGCAAGCGUUAUCCGGAUUUAUUGGGCGUAAAGCGCGUGCAGGCGGUCUAGCAAGUUGGAUGUGAAAGCUCCCGGCUUAACUGGGAGAGGUCGUUCAAUACUGUUAGACUAGAGAAUAGGAGAGGGAGGUGGAAUUCCGGGUGUAGUGGUGAAAUGCGUAGAUAUCCGGAGGAACACCAGUGGCGAAAGCGGCCUCCUGGACUAUUUCUGACGCUAAGACGCGAAAGCUAGGGUAGCAAACGGGAUUAGAUACCCCCGUAGUC
rnacentral:rRNA from 1 species